UACGUAGGGGGCUAGCGUUGUCCGGAUUUAUUGGGCGUAAAGAGCGUGUAGGCGGCCAGGUAGGUCUGCUGUGAAAACUCGAGGCUUAACCUCGAGAUGUCGGCGGAAACCAUCUGGCUAGAGUCCGGAAGAGGAGAGUGGAAUUCCUGGUGUAGCGGUGAAAUGCGCAGAUAUCGUCAAGAACACCGAUAGCGAAGGCAGCUUACUGGGCUGUAACUGACGCUGAUGCACGAAAGUGUGGGGAUCAAACAGG
rnacentral:rRNA from 1 species